rnacentral:rRNA from 1 species
CGAUUCUGGCUCAGGAUGAACGCUAGCGGCAGGCUUAACACAUGCAAGUCGAGGGGCAGCGCGAGUAGCAAUACUUGGCGGCGACCGGCGCAAGGGUGCGUAACGCGUGAGCAACAUGCCCGUAUCAGGGGGAUAAUCCAGGGAAACUUGGUCUAAUACCCCAUAGUAAUUUUGUAAGGCAUCUUAUAAGAUUUAAAGCUUUGGUGGAUACGGAUUGGCUCGCGUGACAUUAGCUGGAUGGUAAGGUAACGGCUUACCAUGGCUAUGAUGUCUAGGGGUUCUGAGAGGAAGGUCCCCCACACUGGAACUGAGACACGGUCCAGACUCCUACGGGAGGCAGCAGUGAGGAAUAUUGGACAAUGGAUGGAAAUCUGAUCCAGCCAUGCCGCGUGAAAGGAAGAAGGUCCUAUGGAUUGUAAACUUCUUUUGUAUGGGAGCAAUAAGGCCUACGAGUAGGUUGAUGAGAGUACCAUACGAAUAAGCACCGGCUAACUCCGUGCCAGCCGCAGC